rnacentral:lncRNA from 1 species
AUUGAAUUAACACUUACAUUUGAAACCCUAAAUCCUAAGCUAAACUGAUACCAGCCGCCCCACCCCAAUCCCCAAUCUCUUGACUCUCUCUCGGCUGAGACUGACCGGCGACCGGUAACUCGCACCCCGGCGCGCGCGACAGGAACAGCAGCAGAGCAGCACGGAGCCGCUGCCUUUAUCUAUCUUUUUCCCAAUCUCUCAUCUCUCUCUCGGCUGAGUCUGACCGGCGACCAGUGAUGCGCACCCGACGCGCGCAACAGCAGCAGCAGCAGAGCAGCACGGAGCGCACCCCGGCGCGCGCGACAGCAGCAGAGUAGCACAGAGCAGCAAGGAACCACCGGGAAUUUCCGGUAAGUUUGAUACUUUUCAACAACCCAACUGCAAGAAUGAGUCCCAAUGUCUCCGAUCCAUUUCGUUGAUCCUAAAUGUUCGUGUUUAUCGGGUAAUUUGCAUCUGUUAGUUGGGUGUAGUAGCUUAAUGUUGCUUUAGGCAAACCAGUGAGCUAAAUUCUUGGUGAAGAUCAUUAGUUCUUUUGUUGUACAUGGUGAUGUAAUGGGUAAAAUGUGUAUUAAGCUAUCAUAUGAGUUCCUUUGCUGUGUAUGGCUAUUUAGUUCUCGAAAUUUUAAUGGGACUUGCUCAAACAAGGUAAAAGCUGGACUAAUUCAUGCGUUGCUU